CCUACGGGAGACAGCAGUGAGGAAUAUUGGUCAAUGGCCGAGAGGCUGAACCAGCCAAGUCGCGUGAGGGAAGAAUGUCCUAUGGAUUGUAAACCUCUUUUGUCAGGGAGUAAAGUCACCCACGUGUGGGUGUUUGAGAGUACCUGAAGAAAAAGCAUCGGCUAACUCCGUGCCAGCAGCCGCGGUAAUACGGAGGAUGCGAGCGUUAUCCGGAUUUAUUGGGUUUAAAGGGUGCGUAGGCGGGUUAUCAAGUCAGCGGUAAAAUCGUGGAGCUCAACUCCAUCCAGCCGUUGAAACUGAUGAUCUUGAGUGGGCGAGAAGUAUGCGGAAUGCGUGGUGUAGCGGUGAAAUGCAGAGAUAUCACGCAGAACUCCGAUUGCGAAGGCAGCAUACCGGCGCCCGACUGACGCUGAAGCACGAAAGCGUGGGUAUCGAACAGGAUUAGAUACCCGGGUAGUC
rnacentral:rRNA from 1 species